rnacentral:rRNA from 1 species
UGGGGAAUCUUGGACAAUGGGGGCAACCCUGAUCCAGCGAUGCCGCGUGGGUGAUGAAGGCCUUCGGGUUGUAAAGCCCUUUCGGCGGGGACGAUAGUGACGGUACCCGCAGAAGAAGCCUCGGCUAACUCCGUGCCAGCAGCCGCGGUAAGACGGAGGAGGCUAGCGUUGUUCGGAAUUACUGGGCGUAAAGCGCGCGCAGGCGGCUUAGCAAGUCAGGGGUGAAAGCCCGGGGCUCAACCUCGGAACUGCCUUUGAGACUGCUAGGCUCGAGACCGAGAGAGGAGAGUGGAAUUCCCAGUGUAGAGGUGAAAUUCGUAGAUAUUGGGAAGAACACCAGUGGCGAAGGCGGCUCUCUGGCUCGGUACUGACGCUGAGGCGCGAAAGCGUGGGGAGCAAACAGG